CACGUAGGGAGCAAGCGUUGUCCGGAUUUAUUGGGCGUAAAGAGCUCGUAGGUGGUUCGGUAAGUCAGGUGUGAAACCUCCAGGCUCAACCUGGAGACGCCACUUGAUACUGCUGUGACUGGAGUCCGGUAGGGGAGCGUGGAAUUCCUGGUGUAGCGGUGAAAUGCGCAGAUAUCAGGGGGAACACCAGCGGCGAAGGCGGCGCUCUGGGCCGGUACUGACACUGAGGAGCGAAAGCGUGGGUAGCAAACAGG
rnacentral:rRNA from 1 species